rnacentral:piRNA from 1 species
UGAAAUCUACCAUGUAUUAUUUGAAUUU